UACAGAGGUCUCAAGCGUUGUUCGGAUUCAUUGGGCGUAAAGGGUGUGUAGGUGGCGCGCUAAGUCGGGUGUGAAAUUUCGGAGCUUAACUCCGAAACUGCAUUCGAUACUGGCGUGCUUGAGGACUGGAGAGGAGACUGGAAUUCAUGGUGUAGCAGUGAAAUGCGUAGAGAUCAUGAGGAAGACCAGUGGCGAAGGCGGGUCUCUGGACAGUUCCUGACGCUGAGGCACGAAAGCGUGGGGAGCAAACAGG
rnacentral:rRNA from 1 species